GCAAUUUCUUUCAUAAACAAAUGUUACUAGCCUAAUUUGAUCAUAAACAUAAGCCAUGUUUUGCAAUACAACAAAAUUUGCAUAAGUAGCGCAGGCAAAUCAUAGUUUAUAAGAUUUGAUUUUUUAUAACACAUUUAUAUUUUUAAUGUAUUACGUUAUAUUUUUGCAGUAUUGCGUUUCACGGUUAUUGCGGUAUUGUGUUUAUACAAAUCCCUAAUUUUAUAAACUCAAGUUAAUGGACAAAGCACCUUGACAUAAUUAGAAAUGCUGAAUAAGUCAAGUUGAUGCUAAACAUAUGCUCAACAAUUUAGUUGAUGUAGUUGAAAAGAAGAUCGGAAGGCCAGCAUUCAUCCCUAACACGCUCUUUAUAAAUUUACAUAUAUAAAAAAACAAACAAAUUUCAAUUAAAAAAGAAUAAGUAUCAUAGCAUAAGUUUUCGGAACAUCUACAUAUUAAAAAUUGAAAGAAAAAAAAAUAAAUAAUUUUUUUUAUUCUAUUAUUUUUUCUUCUUGCGAUUUUUCCUUUAAUUGAUAUUUCCAACAUCAAACGGAAACACUUUUAUAAUAUUUCAACUUUUCCAAUUUAAAUUUAAAGAGUUUGGGAAAUUUAUUUAAGCAUAACAAGAAAAAAAAAGCACAUAUUGAAAAUGUUCAUGUAGCAAAGCACAUUAAAAAUAGCAUUAUUAAGAUUAUAUCGAUCGUUCAUGUAGAUAGAGAGGUGUGUAUAAUUUACGAUUAAGAGUAUACAUUUAAGAAUAUGGAUUUUAUCGAUUUGGAAAAUGUUUAUAUCAUAAAAUAUGAAGAAAAAUAAGAGCAAAAAGAAUCAACAUGUUUGGCUUUAAGUUUAUUAUUACAAGGUAUUAUAAGGAAAAUUUUGAUAUUUCCCAGAAAAGUACCAGAUAUGUCAAUAUUAAAAUAUGAUUGUGCACAGUAUGAAACAUAUGUAUGUGCAUAUGUACAUUAAAUAAUGACGAAAAAAAAAUCUGAAGAACUGUGAACUAAUACCAGGUCUAAAGAUAAGGAUGAAUUCAAUAUUAACAAUUUUUAGAAGAGGUGUCCUGCUCAACAAGAACCUCGUUAAAUCAAAAUUACAAAAAUAUUAAUUAGUAAAAUUAUUGAAGAAUGACAUUUACCAAAACCAAAAAUGUAAAUUUAACAUUAAUUUCACUUAUUCGACAAUUAAAAUUGAAUCGUUCAAUAAAUCAAAUAGACGUAAGAUCUGUAUUAUGAAAAGUACCCAAAUAAUCAGACAUCUAUGAUCGUUGUUUUUUAUAAAUACGAUUUUUGUUUAAAUGCCCAGCUAGCUUUUAAGUAGACAGCAUCAUUACUAACAUAACAAUAUUCAUUAAUUUUAUACCUACAAUUGCCAUAAUAAUAAAUAAUUGAAUUUGUUUACAUGUUAAUAACACUGUAUUCAUAUUUCAAUGUAAAUUACUCGAUGUUUUUAUACUGUACGUUUUUACACACCCUUUAAAUAAGAUUUUGAAAAUGCUGUUAUGAAUUAAGUAAUUAAUGACAAUAUAAACAAAAUUUUAUAAAUGAAAUGAUAAAUAUAUUUUGAAUAAAUGAGAAAUGAAUUAUAAUGUUUUAUAAAACAUAAAUUAUUAAAUUUAUACUUAUGUAUAUAAAAUCCAUGAUUUCCAAAAAUUCAAUAAUAAGAAUAUUAAUAGGCAAUUGAGAUUAAUAUAUAAAACAUUAAGAGAGAUAAGGAAGAUUUGUUGAAUUGUGUAUUGAUAUUGUACAAUUAAUACCGUAUUAUUGCAUUUCGGAAUAUUUAUAAUACAAUAUUAAUUAGCAAUUAAACUAAUAGGGGUGAAUUAGUGAGUUGUAUAUUAGUACAAUUUAGUAUUAUAGCAUUUUGGAAGUCAAGAAAUUUUUCAAAUAAUUUUAAACGAACACAUGCUUCCGGAAUAAUUUUGUAAUCGCAUUUUGGUAAUUAUUGCAAGAUUUUCCAAUUACAAUUCAGAUAUAUUAAAAAUUCAUAAAAAAACACUAAUUGUACUACAUAGGUAUUAUAAUUUAGUUGGGUCUUCCGUUUCAGUUCAAUAUUCAAUAAAUUUUAUUCGUUUCUUCAAUGAUUAUUGCAAAUUUUUCCAUUUAACCAGCUAAAUAUCUACAGAAAUGUCAUUAUUUUAUAUUACUUUUGAAGAAUAAAUGUCAUGUAAAUUAUUAUUCUAAAUAUUUAAUUUUAUUAAAAAUUAAUUAUUGUACUCAAAUCUACACUCUAAUUCAAAUUUUUUUUUAAAAGGAUGUUUAUUUUUCUUUUUUGCUAUAAAAUUAUUUUAUCUGGGGUUAAUUAUCAAAACUAUUAAUAUAAAAAUUGCAAUAUGAACUCUUAAAGUAAUUCAUUAAAUUUUAUAAUUUUUCUUUUAACUGUAAAUCCAAAAAACCUACAUAUACAAUCAUAUCGCAAUACAGAAUACACUAUUACAUUCAAAUAUAUAUAUAUAUUUAUAUAUCUUAUUUAUUUACCUAGUAAAUAUAUAUUUUACUUUAUUUUUGUGCAGUAAUUUAUUAAAAGAACCCUUCAUCAAGGCCUAACAUAACAGCCAAAAUAUUGUCACCAUAUGCAUGAUAUAUAAAAUGAAUGAAUAUAAAAAAUUGUUAAGAAAUAAGAAAAAAAAUGAGAAAUUAAAAAAAAAAAAUAAAUUUUUUUCUCUUUUUACUUUUAAAAUAAAGAAUUUCAGGUCUAAAGAUAAAUUUAUUUUUAAAAUUAA